AAUCCUCUUUAGGCGCCAAAGUACUCGUUUUCAACCCAGACGUGCUCAAGAACCAACCCGAGGCCAUCCAGCCCUCCAUCUGCCCGCCCGCUCAUUUCACAUCCCCCACUCGGCCGCAGAAACAGAAAAUCAAGAGGCGGUGCUUUCUCCCGCAAGCUUUACAUCCCUCCCGCGAGCCUCCUUUCUAUGUCCCACUUAGACCGGGAAACGGAAGAUCAACUGGCGGCGCGGCUGCAGAGUCGGUUUCCUAUUGGCCAGAACUGCUGGAGCUGCGCCCGCCCGCCCCACCUGGGCGGGGCUUCCGCGCUGACCUGGUGCUGUCUUGGGCCCCCGCGCCUUCUGGCUGGCGGGGCCGUCUUAAAGGGACCGCGGCAGGAUCCGGUCGCUUGGCUGACUGCUCUCUCCAGACCAACCUGGGCCUCUCAGUAUCCCAGGCUCGAGUGCCGAUGGAGACCGGGAAGCCGAACGCUGGAGGCGCGGCAUCAGCCUGUCGCCCUCGCUGCACCUGCCGAAAGUCCCUCCCACUACUUUUGGGCGCAGUUUCUCGAGUCACCAUUAGGGGGAGGGGCGGCCAGAAACACAUUGGCGAAAAAUAACAAUAGCUAACAUUGACUCACGGCGUUGCACAAACCCAAGGCCUUUUUACUCACCUCUCGCGUCGUCCUCGCCAAAACUCUAUAAGGGGAGCCAGGCAGAUGCGUUUCCAAAACAAACGUACCCUAACCCAGACGGCCACGGUCAGGUGUUACAACGCAGGCGUGUUCUACACAGCCGUUUCCCACACAGGUGAGUGACUAAACUUUCCGGGUCACGUGAACGGGAGGAGCUGGAGGAGUCCGGCCGAGCUACCGACCGACGCACCGAGGGUUCGAGCCAGGUACUCGGACCGGGCACCGGAGCAAGGUCGAAGACGCCUGGGCCAGGUGCCGGGUCGCAGGUACCCCCGGCCCGAGAUGCGGUAGAAGCAGCGCGCCGGAGAAGCCCGGUUCCCGGUGCCACCAGCCCGUCGCCCGGCCCAUGGCGAGCCCCGGCCUGGGGCUGCUUCUGGCGCUCGGCCUGCAGCUGCUGCCCGCCCGCUGGGGCCGGGCCUGGGGGCAAACGCCGGACCCCCCCGUAAAUGACAACAGCACCAUCACACCCUCUGAGCCGGGCUCCGGCUCCCAUGGGGCGCUGUCUCAGGAGGCCAUCACCGCCAUCAUUGUGGUCUUCUCCCUCCUGGCCGCCUCGCUCCUGGCCGUGGGGCUGGUGCUGCUGGUUCGAAAACUUCGGGAGAAGCGGCAGACACAGGGUACCUACCGGCCCAGCAGCGAGGAGCAGGUGGGUGCCCGCGUGCCGCCGCCCCCCAACCUCAAGCUGCCGCCCGAGGAGCGGCUCAUCUGAAUGCCGGGGCCUCGUUGCCGCCUCCACCGCUGCCCAGGACUGCCCGGCGCUCGCUCACACACAGCAGCCGCCACCGAGAAAACAGCCUCUGAUGUUCUCCCACGCAGCCGAGGCCCGGGCUCCCCAGGACUCCAAGGAGACAGUGCGGGGCUGCCUGCCCAUCUAGGUCCCUUUUCCAUCUCUCUCUCUCUCUCUCUCUCUCUCUCUCUCUCUCUCUCUCUCUCUCGCUGUGUGACCUUGGGGGAAGGCAGAGCCCUCUGUGGGCAAUCAAACCUACCUAGUGCUUAAGAAUAGAAGGGAGGAAGGUGCUUCAAAGACUCUGCCCCUGAGGGGAAGGGAGGGUGGUGCUGCUUACAUUUUAUAUAUAUAUACAUAUAUACAUAAAUCCCAUAGUGAGAUAUAAUAAAACCUUUUUUUUUUUUUUUAAGCCGGUGGGGCAGGAGUCAGUCUAGAUGGAGAGGACAAACUCAGGGCUCAUAGGCUGUUGAGAGAUGAAUUGUAAGGGUGCAAGAAUCCAGGGGGGCUUCCUGGAAGGGAGGGCCUUCCUGCUGCACCUGGGAGCCAGCUGGAGGAGGAGGAGGAAGGUGGCGGAUGGGGUACGUUUCUGAGCACAGAGAGGGCCCCCAGAUAAACUCACCAGGAAAACCAGCUUUGGGCUCAUGUGGCUUUAUUGAAGGACCAGGGUCUCCUCUGGGACCCUGAUUCUUAACCUUCAAAACACUUUUUAAGCUCAGCGACUCUGGGCCGGCUCCUAGCCUGGGACUCCUGCCAGUCACUGUCAGGUGCAGCAGGGGGUCUGAGGGCUCCUGGCCCCUUGGGGCACUGGAAAUGAGCGUGUUCUGCCAGCAUGACCUCAG